GGACCCGCACAAGCGGUGGAUGAUGUGGAUUAAUUCGAUGCAACGCGAAGAACCUUACCUACCCUUGACAUGCCAGGGAGCCCGCUGAGAGGUGGGUGUGCCCGAAAGGGAGCCUGGACACAGGUGCUGCAUGGCUGUCGUCAGCUCGUGUCGUGAGAUGUUGGGUUAAGUCCCGCAACGAGCGCAACCCUUGUCACUAGUUGCUACGGUAACGGGCACUCUAGUGAGACUGCCGGUGACAAACCGGAGGAAGGUGGGGAUGACGUCAAGUCCUCAUGGCCCUUAUGGGUAGGGCUUCACACGUCAUACAAUGGCGCAUACAGAGGGCUGCCAACCCGCGAGGGGGAGCCAAUCCCAGAAAGUGCGUCGUAGUCCGGAUUGCAGUCUGCAACUCGACUGCAUGAAGUCGGAAUCGCUAGUAAUCGCGGAUCAGCAAUGUCGCGGUGAAUACGUUCCCGGGUCUU
rnacentral:rRNA from 1 species